UAAUUAUUAAAUGUAUCUGAUGAUAACUUGAUUUACAGAUAAUGUUGAUGACAUUGACCCUUUGUUUAAAAAAAGAAACUGUAAAUUUGACAUAAUUUCAUUUGCAACUUCAUUUUGUUUUUUAUAAAUGUUAUUUAUACAGAAAGUGGCUACUGACUUUCUAUUUGACAAGUAGUUAUAAUUGGCAAGCAGCUUGAGUUUAUACUCAUGACAUACUGAAAGCAUCUCUUUGGGGUCAAGAAAGAAUCCCUAGUGGAUUUGGGAUUCUAGAGGAGGUGUUAUAAUUAAUUAUUCAGAAAAAUGCAUGUAUUUACCUCUUCAACCAAAAGGGCAGUAAAGAAUAGGGAUAAUAUAUUUUAAUGUAAAUUUGGAAGAAGGAUAAAAUCACCCACAGUUACUCUCCCUAUUAUUUUCACUGGGUCAAGUUUUAAUCUUUUGGCUUCAUGAGUUCCACUCCCUUUGAUGAUAUAUGUUGUAUAUUUUUAGUUGUAAAGCAGUAAUCUUUAACUGUAGCAUUCCUCUAAUUAUAAACAGUGAAAAAUCAAAAUCAGUCCAGAGUUCUUUUGUUGACUUAAUUCCUGAUCAGUAUAGACAGGACUAUAUAUAUUUAAUCAGAGAAUUACAUUAUAUCUGAAGAUGGAACUCAGGAGAAUGC
rnacentral:lncRNA from 1 species